AAGAGAGAAGAGGCCUUGUGGAGGCAGGUCUUCCUCAGACCCCCAAAUUUCCAGACCCAGAAAAGCACCAGAAGCACCCCCCGCCCCGUGGAAAUGAGAAGAAACGUAAACAAGCCUCAAAAACAGACUUCUGGAUCACCUACAGCAACCCCAAAGGGAAAUGAGAUGGAACAAUCUGAUACUCAACCACCUGGACUCUCUGAACUGGCAACAAAAGAGGAUCUGGGAAAAAUGAAAUCAGUGCAAAUGAAUCAAAGUGAAGGUACUUGCUGAAUUCUGUUCUACAAGUGGACAUUCAUCUCUUUGAGAAUUUUUUUUUUUUUUUGGUACCGGGGAUCGAACUCAGGACCUUGCACUUAUGAGGCAGGUGCAGUGCCACUGAGCUAAAUCCCCAGCCCUCUUUGAGAAUUUUUAAAAUUAAUUUUUCACAUGCUCCUGAGGAAUUUUUACCGUACUCAGUGAAUUUAAUUUUUUAGUCUUAGCAGUUAAAUCAUCAUGGUCCACUCAUGAAAUAGACAUUUGAAAUUAACAUUGCAAAAGAAUCAUUUUCAGGGCCAGGGAUUUAGCUCAGUGGUUCCACCACCUGCCUCGCAAGCAGAAGAUUCUGAGUUCGAUCCCCAUUACCAAAAUAACAUAAUAAUUUUCAGACUAGAGACUACAUAGUGAGAAGUUUAAGAUUAAAGUGCCUUUUAAAAGGAAACUACAUCCUGUCUUUGCAAAGGAACAACUAUGAUGAUAUACAGCAGUGAUUGCAAACCUGUGGCACGUAUGCAGAGCUCUCUCUUUCAGUUUACAAGCCAGGUAACCCUAGCAUCAACCCAGAAGUUGAACAUUCAGGUUUAAUUGUAUUGGUGGCACUUUGUGAUAAAUAAGUGGGUUUGGGUUGCAGUUGGGGCACUCAGUCUCUAAAAGAUUCACCAUAUCUGAUCUACAGUAAUGGGUCUGAUUAUUAUAAUUAUUGAACUAAAGCUACAAGGAGCUACUAGCAAUAGGUCAUAGAAAUUCUAUUGUCACAGAUUAAAGACCUAUAUUUUGGGAAGGUCUUGGGUGGGACUUUCUGGUUUAGUUUCUUUGGGAAUGAGGUAGAGAUUGUCCAGUUUGAAGUAAAUGUAACCAUUUGAAAUGCUGUCAUGAUUCUUACCCUACAGAUUUAUUAGUGGGUUCUAAUCUACUAUCCAUUGCAGGAAACUCCGAUUAAUUUCACAAAGUAUUUGCCAACCAACUUUGACAACUAUUCUCAUAGCUUUCUCAUGGAAUUAAAAUUGCUCUUCAGGAGCACAGGAUUUGGGGGGCUAUGAAACCAUUCUGUAUGCUACUAUAAUAGUUUAUAUAUGUCAUUAGACAUUUGUCAAAAUCACAGAAUAGGUAACAUCAAGUGAUUAGUGUAAGUUUAUCAAUCAUGACAAAUACAUGAUGGCUAGGUACAUUGACAGUGGGGGAAGCUGUGCCCGUGUGAGGACAGGAGUCUGUGGGAUCUCUAUACUCUCCCCUCAAUUUUACAAUGAACCUAAAACUGCUCUAUAAAAUAAAUUUUGUUCAUUUUUAAAAAAAUUGCUCAGUGGGC
rnacentral:lncRNA from 1 species